ACAAAACAGCAGUCCAUCAAGCAUUCUUUCCCCACCUCUUCUUCAUGAUUUUUUUUGCUAUCUUAGUUCAUUUCUCUAAUCUUCCUUCGCUUUCUAACAGUAAAACGAUUUCUAUAGUUCUUCUUCCAUCCUAUACUCUCAAUUUCUCUCAUAUCUCACAGUAG